rnacentral:miRNA from 1 species
GCCGUGUUUGUGUGUGUGUGUGUGUAUGUAUCUAUAUCUAUAUAUAUAUAUAUAUAUGUAUAUAUAUAUAUAUAUAGAUAUAGAUAUAUAUACACACACACACACACAUACACUGCUG